UGCGACUCACGUACACAGCACAACAUGAAAAAAAACAAAAACUUUGGGUUUGGGCGGACAUAUUUAGUGAGGGCAAAACUGAAACAACGAUGGCGGGUCCCGGAUAAGGAAAUUGUGUGGGACUUUAGAGCCUGGAAGGGUUGAUAUGACAGCACCAUGGCUGAGAAGAUGAAGACCCUGCUGCAGAAUUUAGACCACUUCAUAGAGGUUCUUGCUUUAUCUCAAAGUGUCCAUACCAAAGAUUGGGAUAUCCUGCAUGUACAAGGAGCACUUGAAUGGGGAACCUAUUUUCAACACGUGCACCAUCGCUUUAAGACUAAUAAUGAUCUUAGAAACGUAAUAGAAGCUCGUCUUAUAGCAAAACAUCAGGAGCUUUCCUGUUACUUGAAGACUUGCCAUCAUGUUACUUUCGAUGACCUCAGUAAAGGUUGUAAUAUUCUGUGUAUGUCUCUUCUCCAGAACAAGGCUCUUCCUGAUCCUGUGUUCAAAUACUUAACUGAGCAGCUCCGAAACUCCGAUCCCAAGGUUGCUAGGUCUACAUGUGUGUCCCAUAUUAUAUCCCAGAAAGUGACAUCAGAACUACUCCUCUCACUUCCUUUAUUGACAUCCAAAGUAAUGGAUCCAUUGGACAACCCUGUACUGAUGGCUGAAGCUGAACUAGUGAAAAGCCGUCUAGAAGGAAGACUGAGGGUGUCAGAAGAUGGCCAGAGAUUGGCUACUGUGUCAGAUUUUCUUGGACGGGUUCCCAAACCACAUAUCUACCACCUCAUAGAAGUUAUACUUCUAUCUAAUGGUGAUAUAGACUCGGAAGACCAAAACCUGAUAUCGGAUGUUCUUCUGGAUUGGCUUCUGUCAGAUAAUGACUUCUUUGUUGGUUUUUUCUUGACAGUAACCUGCCAGGUCUUGGCAAGAUUGAGCUUCACGUCGCCCAAGUUUAGAAAUGUCUACGUGGAUCAUUUGGUUCAGUUAGGAAGUAGUAUGGAACAAGACCUGACCUGUGGGAAGUGGAUUAGUGACAAAUAUAACCUAUCUUUUGAUGGACUGUUGAAUCAUUAUAGGCAUCUUAUGAAAGGUCCCAAAGAUGUGAAACACUCUAUAGUGACUAAACUUCAGACCUUAAGAAGUAAGGAUGGGAACUUUGAUGUGCCUGGUAUAAGUGUAUGGACUGAUAUAUUGGCUGAAAUACAUAAAAAGUAACACUGGUGUUGGGACAGAUUUGCCUGAAAAUACAUAAUUAAUUGUGAUGUCAUAUUUUAUAUGUAAUAUUGAGAUAUUUGUGUUUCCAUAAUUUAUUUCUAUGUGACACCUUUUUUUUUUUUUUUAAAAGAGGUUGACCACUUUAUAAAAAUAUUUCCUAAAGGGCCCAAAACUGUUUGUUGUGGUUCAUAAAUCUGUAAAUGAUCCUUCUACUUUACUUCGGCUGCUCAUGUGUGGACUAUGUGAACACUACAGAACUGAGGUUUCCCUGUCUAUAGGAAACAAGAUGGUGGUGGUCAUGUGAUUUACCCAUGUGACAGCUUUCUUGGCUGUACCUGACUACUUUUUUAGUGCAAGAGAUGAGUAGCAAUUACACACAUCCAAAUCAUGUAUUAAUAAUACAAUUAAAGAAGCAAAUAGCAGUCUGGCAAUGCAAGUAACAAGAGUCCUGCAGUCAGUGGGAUGUAUACAGCACGUGUCACUGUCCGCAUAAGAAUAUAAACCUCAGAGGUGCUCUCAUCCAGAAUCAACAGGAAUAGUAAGUACAAAAAGCAUCAGGAAAGUAUAAGGAUAAUGCACUCACCGCUGGCUUUAUGAAGUAGUUCAGACUUUAUUCUCGUUCAUCUUAUAUAUCUUCAAUCCACGAGACAGGUACACAGGGAGCAGUGGGUGAUACAGGUGAGGCAGGGGCGGCAAGAAGUUUCGCGCACAACGGUGCUUCCUCUGGCCCGAAACGGGCCAGAGGAAGCGUCGUUGUGUGCAAAACUUGUUGAGCUGAUUUGGUUGCUAUGGGCAACUCUGCAACGCUUCCUCUGGAAAGGUUUUUAUAAAUCUCCGCCAUUGUGUAUUUAAUAUACCUGCUGUACUUCAAUAAUGUAAAAAAAAAUGCUUUUAUUCUCUGGCGCCAAGUGCUGGAACGCCUCCUCACUCUCCCUGCUUGCUUGACAGUCUGCUGGAAACUGAGCCCUGUUUACAAAUCUAACAUCUGUGCACAAUGUAUAUACACAGAGCAGGAACAAGAUUUGUAAACAAGGCUCUGUGCUGGAAGCUGAGCCCUGACUGUCAAUAAAGCAGGGGCAGGGGGAGCAAGGAGUACCCCUUUAAGUCCUUAGCACUUUCGGGAUUUGGGAAUGACUCUGACACUUUCCAGAGAAUAAAAGUGUUUUUCUAUGUUAUGGAAGCACAUUCAGAUAUAUAAGAGGUACCAUGUGUCUCUUUGUCAUAAGUUUAUCUAAUAUUAUUCAAACACAGAGAAAUCCUUAUGUAAGCACUACAAGUCUCAGGGUAGCAUGACUCUAUUUAACAUGGUACAGAUGUGCAAUGUAGCAAACUAGCACGGCAUCUAGUAACAAAUGGCUGUUGUUAGUGAAACCAAACAAUGGUGAUCUCUCAAUGCUUGCAGGUAAAAACAUACCGAAAGAAAAGAUGUAUAGACGGCACUCACCACUGUGCUCCUAUUGAGCUUCUUUUAUUAUUUCAUGAGGGAAGGGAGAACAAGGUGCAGGCACAAUCCACUGAAACAGGCUCUGGCUGUUUCACAAUGUCUGUGUAUGUGGCCUGUCCGAGCUAUCUAUUAGUGCCAGAAGUGUGAAACGUGAAUUUCAGCUGACAGAUUUCCUUUAAUAUGAUGUAAUAUAUGUAGUCAAGACGUAUAAAAAAAUUGAUGCUGAAUUUUUUUCCCCUUCUCACCAUUUGUGACCCCCUGAAAGCUGCUAUGUCUCACCCACUGAUAAUAAAAAGUAUAAAUUGUUGAUUGAUCUAUUUUUACACAGCAACAUAGACAGGUAAAUUGGAUCAUUGUUAUUCAUUUAGUUUUAUUUGUUAUUUAAAUGAGCCCUAUCAAACUUUGCAUAGA